GAUGAACGCUGGCGGCGUGCCUAAUACAUGCAAGUCGAGCGAACUGAUUAGAAGCUUGCUUCUAUGACGUUAGCGGCGGACGGGUGAGUAACACGUGGGCAACCUGCCUGUAAGACUGGGAUAACUUCGGGAAACCGAAGCUAAUACCGGAUAGGAUCUUCUCCUUCAUGGGGGAUGAUUGAAAGAUGGUUUCGGCUAUCACUUACAGAUGGGCCCGCGGUGCAUUAGCUAGUUGGUGAGGUAACGGCUCACCAAGGCAACGAUGCAUAGCCGACCUGAGAGGGUGAUCGGCCACACUGGGACUGAGACACGGCCCAGACUCCUACGGGAGGCAGCGGUAGGGAAUCUUCCGCAAUGGACGAAAGUCUGACGGAGCAACGCCGCGUGAGUGAUGAAGGCUUUCGGGUCGUAAAACUCUGUUGUUAGGGAAGAACAAGUACGAGAGUAACUGCUCGUACCUUGACGGUACCUAACCAGAAAGCCACGGCUAACUACGUGCCAGCCGCCGCAGUAA
rnacentral:rRNA from 1 species